GUGCCUCCCUUGCAGAACACACACAGGUGGGGAAAAGGGCUUGCAGGGGGCCUUGGGCUUAUGGGGAUAAAGAGGCAGGAACUGAGUCUGAGAACAAUAAAAACCAGGCCUGGCACUUGGUGUGGAGCAGUGACCAGGGAGAGGACUUGACCUGGGGAAGGGACAGGGCUCCAACAGGAGCCUUCUGAAGCGUGCGGGCCAGGAGGCCAACUGCAUAGGGUGGCGAGAAGGACCCAGGACCCACCCCCCGUGGCUUUCCCUUUCAGGUCUGAGUCUCUCCGUGUGCAGAAGGAGGAUUGCAUUGGCUCAGUGCUUUCCAAAGUGCUGAGGGAUUCCAGGGGCACCCACGGAGCUCCCCUGGGGCCUGUGGACGGGGGUGGGUGAGUGAGCAGGAGUCAGGUCUCCCCUCUGCACUGACCUGAGCUGCCUCAUCUUUACAUUUUACUUUUAUUUAAAGACUGUAAGCCAAAGCCAGUGUGAAGCCUCCUGAGCUGGCUGAUCUCCACAUCCCUGCCAGCACCUUAUGACCCACCAUUCUACACUGGUGGAGGGGGGCUUAUGUUAGCGCUAUUGGGACCCUGGGACAGAGUUGACAGUGAACUUUGGCAGAGGAGGAGGUACCUUUUUCGUGUGAUUAGGGAACCUGGAUUCUUUCCCUGGCCCCAGCACCGGAUGUGUACCCCAAAGAGGCUAACUCCUUGGGACUGAAGCCCAUCUGCCCACAAGAUGCAGGAGUUUGAAGGGUGCACCCCACCCUAAAGGGCACAGUCUCAUCACCCUGAAUUUCUGGGUUGGGCAAACCACUAGUUGACACAGUAUUCAGCCAUAAAGAAACAGAGAAGCUACUUCCUUGAAAUCAGUGCUACCUUGAUAAGUAUAAAUCCUGCAAGAAACCAAGGAGAAACCCAUAUGAGAUAUUAACUUGUUGGGUAGAAGGUCAGGUUCACGUUUCACAGGAUGACAAUGGCUGUGCUGUGACCCAGCAGGCUCUGUUGUAUGUGCCAAGGCCUCCCAGCUGGUCUGGGCCAGUUCUGUCCUUCCACGCCUCACUGGGAGCCACCCAUUUUGUCAAUAAGCAGCUGGUAUCCCUCUGCUUCUUAGUCAUAUGUCAUUUAUAGACUCCUGAUCUGCCCCCAGUGUCACGGCCGUUGUAGGUUCUGGAAGGAACAGAAAGCAGUCAUACACAGUGAUGGACACAUAGCAGGACUUAAAAAUGCUUGCUCUGCAACACGAAGACAACGACUGAAUGACCCCACUUCCAUGAGGUAUCUAGAGUAACCAAACUCAUAGAAACAGAAGCUAGAAGGCGGUUGCCGGGGUCCAGGGGGAGGAAAAUGGAGAACUGUUGUUCAAUGGUGAUGGAAACGCUUUGGAGAUGGGUUGUAUAACAGUGUGACUAUACUUAACACAACUGAGCCGUGCACUUAAAAAUGGUUGAUGGAAGCCCUGAAACUCUGUACGUCUAUUACGCAUCAUUAAAAAUAUUGCUCAAAAAAUA